CACGAGACGCAGGAGAAGCAGACAGCGACGUGGUUAAAGAAAAGAACACCCAGUGAAGAAACAUCAUUUUUAGAGAGGAAAAAAAAACCAUAAGAGAAACCAGGAAGGAGCAGAUCAUGUCUCCAGCUCUUCUCGCCGUUCUAGAGGGGUGACUCUCCAGGCAGGGGGCACACUUCUAGAUCUCCUCUUAAAAGGAAAAAAGAGACGUAGUAGGAGUCCAUCUCUGACAUUAAAGCGACACAUAGUAGGAGUACAAGUUACUCCCUCAGAAUUACAAUCUUGAGCAGUAGGAGUAACGACGGGGAAAAGGCAGACAUCGAGGACCUUCCCGACAAAGAGGAGGCGCUCAACGGAUAGAUAAGCCCAUCGGUCCAGUGGCAGUAGGAGCCGAUGUGGGUGUCACAUACGAUGAUCCAUGUGGACAUCCUAGUGGGAGCAGCCAUAGUGGGAAGACCAGCCACCCUCCCUCGCCAUGAGCACUGAAGAAGGAUGCGGGACCCUGUGAGCCAAUGGUGGAGUGGCCGCCGCUCAGCGGCAGGAGGAGUGAGCUGCAGGAACGUGCGGCAUGGAAAACUCUACGAAGCAUCGUGCCGAGGGGAAGACACAGACACAAAGGAGAAAGCACGUCCGUUUGUGAGCCUGGAACAGCAAGGCUGCAGUGACUGGAGGCACAGGAGCCAUGAGGAGAGGGACCACUAGGGGCUCAAGAUGACGUUGCAGGAGCCGGAAGUGUUUGUGUCUGGGUCAGGGGUGGCUGCACAGGUGUCCGCUUUUGUCAAAACUCAUCACAUUUUACUCUAAAAAUGGAUGCAUAUUAUUUUAUUUUUUAGAGAGAGAGUGCGCAUGCAUGCGCAGGGGUGGGAGUGGGGGAGGGGCAGGGGGAGAGAAUCUCAAAAGGACUCCCAGCUGAGCACAGAGCCGUAAGCAGGGCUCCCUCUCAUGACCCUGCGAUCAUGACCUGAGCUGAAAUCAAGAGUCAGAUGCUCAACCAACCUGAGCCACCCAGGCGCCCCAAUAAAAUGUGUGUUUUUUAAAAAGACAGUUAAACUAGAAUGAGAGCGUAUCAUGCUAAGCAAAAUAAGUCAGAGAAAAACAAAUAUGAUUUCACACAUAUGUGGAAUUUAAGAAAACAGAUGAACACAGAGGAAGGGAAGGGGAAAUAAGAGAGAAACAGAGAGGAAGACAAACCAUAAGAGACUCUUAACUAUAGAGAACAAACUGAAGG
rnacentral:lncRNA from 1 species